AGCGAACGCUGGCGGCAGGCUUAACACAUGCCAGUCGAGCGGGCCCUUCGGGGUCAGCGGCGGACGGGUGGGUAACGCGUGGGAACGUGCCUUCUGGUCUGGAAUAACCCUGGGAAACAAGGGCUAAUACCGGAUACGCUCUUUCGGGGGAAGGUUUACUGCCGGAGGAUCGGCUCGCGUCUGAUUGGCUAGUUGGUGGGGUAACGGCCUACAAAGGGUACGAUCAGUAGCUGGUCUGAGAGGAUGAGCAGCCACACUGGGCCUGAGACACGGCCCAGACUCCUACGGGAGGGAGGAGUGGGGGAUAUUGGACAAUGGGCGCAAGCCUGAUCCAGCCAUGCCGCGUGAGUGAUGAAGGCCUUAGGGUUGUAAAGCUCUUUUAUCCGGGACGAUAAUGACGGUACCGGAGGAAUAAGCCCCGGCUAACUUCGUG
rnacentral:rRNA from 1 species